rnacentral:sRNA from 1 species
AAGGUAACGAAGAGUUGCAUAGAGCAUA